UACGUAGGGGGCAAGCGUUGUCCGGAAUUAUUGGGCGUAAAGCGCGCGCAGGCGGUGAGUAAAGUCUGGUGUUUAAACUUGAGGCUCAACCUCAAGGCGCAUUGGAAACUGGCUGACUGGAGUGUAGGAGAGGAAAGUGGAAUUCCACGUGUAGCGGUGAAAUGCGUAGAGAUGUGGAGGAACACCAGUGGCGAAGGCGACUUUCUGGCCUAUAACUGACGCUGAGGCGCGAAAGCGUGGGGAGCAAACAGG
rnacentral:rRNA from 1 species